GCAGGGUAACCAGCGACACCUGUACUCAGUCUAAUCCAUACCACAGGUUAACCAACGACACCUGUACUCAGUCUGAUCCAUACCGCAGGGUAACCAGCGACACCUGUACUCAGUCUAAUCCAUACCGCAGGGUAACCAGCGACACCUGUACUCAGUCUAAUCCAUACCGCAGGGUAACCAGCGACACCUGUACUCAGUCUAAUCCAUACUGCAGGGUAACCAACGACACCUGUACUCAGUCUAAUCCAUACCGCAGGGUAACCAGCGACACCUGUACUCAGUCUAAUCCAUACCGCAGGUUAACCAACGACACCUGUACUCAGUCUGAUCCAUACCACAGGUUAACCAACGACACCUGUACUCAGUCUAAUCCAUACCACAGGUUAACCAACGACACCUGUACUCAGUCUAAUCCAUACCGCAGGUUAACCAACGACACCUGUACUCAGUCUAAUCCAUACCGCAGGUUAGCCAGCGACACCUGUACUCAGUUUAAUUCAUACUGCAGGCUAGCCAGUGACGCCUGUACUCAGUCUGAUCCAUACCGCAGGCUAACCACCAACACCUGUACUCAGUCUAAUCCAUACCACAGGUUAGCCAGCGACACCUGUAUUCAGUCUGAUCCAUACCGCAGGCUAACCACCGACACCUGUACUCAGUCUAAUCCAUACUGCAGGCAGGCAUGAAGCAGUGUGGACCAACAAGAAGUCAAAGCUUGAUUUGGGGCUGUAGAGAUAGUUGGUAAAGUACCUGUCAUGAAAGCCUGAGACCCAGAGUAUAAAAAUACCAGCACUGGUCAUCUCAGUGCUAGGAAGGCAGAGAUAGGAAGACUUAGGACCUGCUUCGGCAAUCCAGACUAGCCUCAUUGGCGAGACUCAGGUCUCAGAAGAAGGUGUUCUUGUCUCAAAAAACAAGGUGGAUAGCAGCUGAUGAAGGACAUUCAAGGUUGAUCUCUUCAUGGGCAUACAUGAGCAUGUGCAUACACACGUGUGAGAGCACAUACACACAUCCUUAGCUGGGUGUUGUCACACACAUUUGCAAUCCUAGUAUAUAGGAGGCUAAGGCGAAAAGAUCUUGAGUUGCAGAACAACUUGGGUCACAUAACAAGACCUCAUCACCAAAAUAGAAUAAAAAAAAAAAUACAUGGAUGAAGUGGGCUCCUUACAGAGGGUUGAGAGAGAAGCAGAAGCUUGGAAGAGAGCAGCACCUUUGUGUGGUUUUGACUUUUACAAUUUUAAAUCAUGUUAAUGUUUUACGUAUUCAAGAAGUAAAUUACCAAAAAGGGAACUGUCUUAAAAUUGCAAAGAAACGUGAUCCAGCUUUAUCCUGAUGAAUUACAUGCUGAUGUUGAAGAGGGGGUUAAUUUUAGUAAGUUUUGAACAGAAUACACCGAGACAGCAUUAAAACCUCACACAAAUCUUAACUUGUUUAUAGGUUAUUUUUCAUAGUAGUUCAAGAACUGGGGUUGGAAUGAAGCCAGCAGUGUGUGCACAGCACGGUGGUUUUUCUGUGUGCGUGUGAAAGAGUGGGUGCCUCUGUGUGUAAGUACAUGUGCACACAUACUGUGCCCUUGCUCUUGAUGUCCCAGUAGUGACAAGCACACCUAGUGCUCCGGUGUUGCCCACUGAAGUAUGCUGGCAUUUUUAGAGACGUGGUAGAUUCCAUGGUAGGGUGACACGAUGACCCUGGAGGAACGUCUUGUGCCCAUCCAUGACUGAUGGCAUCUCACAAGGACUCCAGCGAAUAUCACAGAGAGGAUGCCACUGGCCAUAUUGGUGACAUCGGCGUCAAGCAUUCACGUGAGAAGAGUCAUACCGUGUAGUCCACUGGGAACAGGACCCACGUGCUCAUACCAACGCUCAGUUCUGUUGCUGUGGUGACACACCAUGGUCAAGACCGCAUAGAAGGAAGAGCUCAUUUGUGCUGAGUGGCGGGUCCAGCUGUCAGGCGCAGCGCAGGGGAAGGCCAGGCCGCAGGCGCGGGGAGCUGAGCUCUCAUGUCUUCGGACACAAGCAGAAGCACAGAGAGCAAACUGGAAGUGGAGUGAGGCUUCGGUUUCAGAUCCCGCCCUCAGUGACAUACUUCACCACGUAGACCUCCCCAACAGCGUCACUCACUGACUGGGGACCGAGUUCAGAUGCGGGACUGUGAGAGACAUUUCUCCUUCAGAGCCCCGAGCCGACAAUGCCGGUAAAUGUUACAGAACGUGUGGACGGAAGGAGGCGCGUUUCUGUGCAGUAGGAAGGGCACUGUUUUCUUUAAAAACAAAAUAAAAAACCCACAGCUUUGCAACCACCAUAGUAAACAUUAAUUCAAGGGAAAGGCACCAGUGUGUGAAGCACUGGGCUCUCUCUACACUCUCACAACAUCUCCCCAUCGAUAAGAUACUUAUUAUUACACGAGGAGACUAAUAACCAUACAGUAAGGAAACUGGGCACAACCCCAUUAUCAAAACUAACAUUGCCGAUAAUGGAAGAAGUGUUGUAUUUAUACCCUGAAAAGGACUCAAAAUACCGAACUUCGGACAACCUGAGAGACCCCUGUAAAGUCCCUAACCUGUAUUCUUCAAAAAUAAAAAUGCCACAAACUGCUCAGGUUAGAGGAGAUGAGGAGCCUGUUCUACCUUAGUGAAGGCUGUGAACCAGGCCAGGCAUCGUGGAGAAGUUAUCUCACAGCGAAAGGCCAUCUUGUUAAUGGUUGGUGAAGUGGACUCUAGGCUGGGUGAGAAUGAAUACCAGUGUCAGAUCCCUGCUUUCAAGCUCCGUCAGCAGCUAGAGUGAGGAGGCUGGAGGUGAAGCCACUCGACAAGACCACCAGUGCCGACUCUGGGUUCCUAGGGAUCUUCUGAGGCUGCAUGCUUGAGAUUGUGUUAAAGUCCAAAGCAUUGCAGUGAUAACACCUGAGAUCCCCCUGCCUGGGGAAGGCAGGUUUACAGCUGACCACACCAGCCAGGCCCUUGGUCCACAGCCUCUGCUACAAAACUGUCCUUCCACACUUGGUGAUCAGAAGUGUGUGAGUAGGCUUCUCCCACGUCCCUGUCCGAGGCUUGGGUCAGGACUUUUGCCAGAAACCUGCCGACUGCCUGACAACUUCAGCUGAUUGUUGGGUCCGUCAGUCCCUUAGCCUGGCAGCUUCUUGCUUCAGGCUUGUAUUUCACUAACUCUCUAGGUUUUAGCAGCAGAGGGCCAGAUGUGCAACCAGAGUUUCUUUUUAUUUGCUUAUUUUAUUUUUAGAGACAGGGCCUCACUCUGAAGCCUAGGCUGGUCUCAGUUCAUGGUCCUGCUGCCUCUGCCUUCUAGUGCCGGGAUUAGAGAUGUGCAGUGCACCGGCCAGCAGAGUUCAUCUGCCUCAUCUUCUUGAUCAGUUCUCUUUGGGGUUGGCAGCACACACCUUUAAUCCCAGCACUCGAGAGUUCGAGGUCAGCCUGGUCUAACAGAGCAAUUCCAGGACAGCCUGAACUACACAGAGAAUCCCUGUCUCGAAAAAACCAAAACAAAAAAAACAAUCCCAUAGGCAAAUACCAUCCCAGAGGUGAGGAAGAAAUGUCUCAAUCAUUUGCAUUUGUCAGACCCUAGAAUGACAGAGAGUAGUCACCCAUGGGGUGAGAACAAACAUAAGACCGCUGUGAGUCACAUUCGUCAGGUAUUUGCAGGUGAGCUGUUUCUUGGAUUUGGCAGUUUGGGGAGAGGAAAAAAAGAUACCAAAAGGAGGAGGAGGAGAAUGUGAAAAUGUCAUUGUCUAUGGGGUUUCCCCUAAUGAGUCGUUUUUCCUUGAUCCUCCCAGAAUGACAGUGCUAAGGAUAGCAUGUUGUCAAUAUCACUGUGUAGGAGCUGUGAACUCUCCCUCACAGUCGUUGUGAGAAUUUGCACACUCAGGAGAGGUCAACCUGCCUUUCUCCAACCACCUGUCACGCCUUUCUCUCCUCCCCAUCCCCUCUCUCUUUCUCAACUUGCUUCCAGCAUCUUGUUUCGAUGUUCCUGAUCGGGGCAGACCAUCAGUGUUCACAUAGCCCAUAAUUGUCGUGCGCACUCUUGGUGUGUUAUCAUAGAAGAAUGAGAAGCUGGUUUUGGUGGGGUGUGGUGGUGCACCCUUUAAUCCCAGCACUGGUAGAUUUCCAUGACGUUGAACCUGCAUCUACACAGCAGGUUCCAGGCUAGCCAGGGCGGUCCAGUGAGAUCCUGUCUCUUAGAAAAAAAGACUUGACUUCUAGAGACUCACAGUUAAGUUCAGAAAGUUGUAAUUGAUGUGUGAUCUCAAUUAGUUUGUUAAGGUGGGCCACUAUCAGAAAUGUGAUUAGCACGUUUAAAUAUGAUCAAACUUUUUAUCCUUAAUUUUUCAAUUCAAUGCAUUUGUAUUUUUAAGUGUUAGGGUCCCAUGUUGUUUGCUUUUGCAAAGCUGAGGAUGAACUACAGCCUCACCUGAGUCAUGUGACUUGUCAUUUAUUACACGUGUGCGAGUGGGUGUGUGCAGAAGCCAGAGGUGGUCAUGAGCCACACAGUGUGCUUCCGCGUGCUAGGAAUCAAGCCGUAGUCUCUGUCAGAGCCAUGUACACUUGUAACCACGGAGCCCCUUUCUAACCCUUGACUCAUGUAACUUUACUACAGCAAAGAAACAGUAACACACAAAGAAGUCCUGUCUCAAAAAACCAAAAACAAAACAGUGACUUUCUAAACUCAGAAAAAUGUUUAAAAAAAAAUCCUCCUAUGCACACAGAGCUCAGGGAUUUUAGUGAGAGUUGUGCGAGCAAACCCAGUCAGUGGGAACUAUACCCGUGGACUUUGUGAGCCAAUAUUCAGAGAAAAUGUUUGUAUAUUAAGGUGUUGUGUCACAAAAUAGCAUGCAGCCAUCGGUGCCUGCCAUCUCUGCUGCUUCUGUUUUUUGAGAUUCCAAAUUUUUCAAAACCCACCCUAUUUUCAGUGGGUAGAACCAUGACCCCUUUGCCAGUUCGUCACCCAUUGGAGGAUGGUAUCCCAGCUCCGUUUCAUACACCUGAAAGAGGCAUUCAUGGAGGAGGCUGGGGUGAAGGUAGAGCCAUACAUCACUGGGUAUCUAUCUAAAGGUGACCCCAAGAAGCCAAGGAACAGGAUGUCACACCUGCCUUCUUUAGGGAGACAUGCAGUGAGGAACAUCAGAGAAACUCAGUCCUGGCCUUUCCCUAGAACUGUCAAGAGGUCCUCAGAGUUGUCAGUGCUGUGUGCAGGGCAGAGAAGCCCCGAUGAGACAGGGCAGAGAUGGAGGCCACCGUGAUAAGGGACUGAAGGACUGCAGCAGCCCAUGGGGAGAGGAGGGCACUGCACUGAUAGCUACACCACAGGAGAAAGAUGACUUUCCUCCCUAGCUGGGGCUGGGGAUUUGUGAGCCCCUCCCCCACUGCCCUGGUACUUGGUGCAGUGGUCAUUGCUCUGUGAGCUCAUGAGUUCAGUGGCCACCAUCCCGCUUGCCUGGCCAGGUAUUCUGAUACCACACUCACUCUAAAAACUAGCAAAUCAGCGUCACCAUCUUGAUGACCUCAGUUUGUUCCCUGAGACUCACGUGGUGGAAGGUGAGAAACUGACUCCCACAAAUGGUCCUCUAACCCUCACGCAUACACCAUGGCACAUGCCCAGAAAUAAACAUUACAAUCUUGGUCCCUGAAUAAGGUUUUAAGUAACAAAUAAUGAAAUUUUGUCAAAUUUAUAUAUUUUUGUUUGUUUGUAAAUCAAAAGAAGAAGGGAAAUAUCAAAUAUCCCUGCACAUAAACAGUGCGCUCUCUGCUAGUCCCACACAAAUGCGAUAAACACACAUGCUGAACCAAAGCUGACAGAAGGGGAAUCGCACUUCCUUUCCCAGUCAUGUCUGACUUCAUUUUCAUUAGCCCGCAGUCAACCUGGCUGUACUGCCCACCCUAAUGAUGCUGGGAAGACAGGCGUGGGCAUGGAGCUGCCCUUUCCUGAGGACCUGCUGCAUGCUAAGCCAUGGACAGGGGUCCCUGACAGGGAUGUAAAUCACAGGAGGUGAGAGGGGGUCAGAUUAGGAUGAAGAAGAGCUGCAUCCCCACAAGGGAUGUCCAGGGCAGCACUGGGGAGGGAGCUGGCACUGACAGGUAACAAAUGAUGCUUAUAAAAGAGAGGCAAGGCUGCCCUGGCCUCGCCUGUCCCAUCCAUGUGAUGUGAGCUGGCGCAGAGGGGCGCCCAGCUGUGCACGGGGUGGGGCCGCUAUCUGGUGGGCAUCUCGAUCUAUGCGCACCAGAAUUUGGGAAGUUAAAACCCAAAACACUAUUUGUUUUUGACACUCUUAGCUAAAGGGAAGUUAAAGAAAACCACAACUUUGUUGAGCAAACCAAGCCAUUGUCAUUGAAGUUGUUGCUGUGUCUUGUUGGGAUGAAGGUCUGUCCCAUUUGACUUGUAUCACAGGAGCUGAGCUGGGGCUGGAGAAAUAAGGUAAUUAUCCUGAAAUAGGGAGAUGUGAAGAGGUCAUCAAAAACCGUAUCUGCGUGUCGGUUUCCUCCCACAGUGUGGUCUGUUUUCUGAAGAACAUGUAGGAGGGAAAAGUAUGGUCUACCUGUUGUCAGCUGACAGUGACAGUGCCCUUUGGCGGCUGCAGUUCCAAUCGUGUCCCCUUUCUUGGGUCAUCCAGCCGCAAGACUUCCUCAUGUAACAGGAGGCUGAGCAGGCCACUGACGCCAGCGGUGGGCUGUGACGACAGGCAGCUGGCUGGAUUCACAGUCCCCUCUCAGUGGGAGGGGGCUGGACACUAGCUCAGAUGCACGCUCAACCCAGGGAGGAGGAGAGAGGAGGCUCCCCUGGGUGCCCUAUAGAUUCUGUUGUCUCAAGCUCUCACCUCAGUCACAAAAAAUAAGUAUUGGAUAUUCUGCAAGACUGAAAAGGAGCUGGUGUGAUCCCUUGUACCUGUCAUCCCCACACUCGGGAGACUGAGGCACAAGAUUGCUGCAAAUUUGAGGCCACCUUGAACUGCAAAGUGUAAGGCCAGGGCUAUUUAUCAAAACUUUGUCUCGAAAGUAGAUUAGAUAGAUAGGUACAUAGAUAGGCCGACAGAUGAUGGAGAGAUGAUAGGUAGAUGACAGACAGACAGACAGACAGACAGACAGAUAGAUAGAUACACAGAUAGAGGCCGAGAGAGCGGAGUAACCUUGUUGAGCAUUAAUCACCCGUGGUUGCAUUCUAAACGAAGCCAAGCAGAGGGUGGAUUAGAAUUUGGACUAGAACCCUCACUGCACGCUAAGAUGGUCAUUGGCAGGGGUUUUAGACAGUGCCUCCUGUGGCGCCAGAGCAGGAGGGAGGUACCCAGUGGGCUGAGAGAGACAGCAAAGACAGGAAAGGCUUUUCAGAAAACUCCCAUGGGGCAUUUUCUAAGUUUCCCGUACAGAUUGCUAUCAACCUGGUGUCUGGUAGUGACUUGGAUGCAGCGUGUGUGGCCUGCUGGUGGCUGUGCGGAGUUCUCGGUGUCUUUAUUCCUUAAGGAGCUCACGUCACUGAGCCUGAGCACCUCACCAUCAGCCUUCAUCUAACCCGUGCUGGGCUACAGGACAUGUCCAGCCUUCCUCCCGGUGGGGAGAGGUUGACCUGGCCCCAGACGUUGGUGAAGUCAUCACCUAUCAGGGAAAAAACAGCAAGUGGAUUGCCAACUACCCCUUUACUGUAGCUUUCAGGGCAGGCCCUAAAGGUCUCUCUGAUAAGCCCGUACCAAGCCAUCAACAGUGAGAACACCAGACACACUUGUUGUCUUAGCCCGGAAAAACACAUAAGUAUGGCGGCCAGAUGCAGUCACAGGCACUUGGCGGCUGACCACAGCGUCCGAAGCACCAAGCUUGCUGCUCACCUUUAGCAGGACAAGACUCUUCAGCAAAGACCUGUGAAAAACCCAGCUCACUUGUCAAACCAGCACUGGUGGACACGUGGUUGUUCAUGUCUGACAGGAGCGAUCGCGGGAGAUUACACACAGAAAGCUUUCAUUCUCAUGCCAGACGCUGCUCACAGGGCAGCCUAACGCCCCAUACCCAAGGGCUCCUGUGCAGUCUGUGCUGCCUGCCACUGUGCAUCUCACACCUUGUACCUGCAUCUUCUGGAUUCUCACGUGCAUCAUCAGUACAGGGAAAACUCAGGUACCAGGUAGAAGCUGUGGCCAGACAUCGGUGCCCACCCUUGUCAGCCCCUGAGACGGCUGCCUGUCAGCAGCACAUAGACCUGCUCCUGGCCAGGUACAAACACAAGUGAUCCACAGCCAUGCCUGAAGUACUUAGCAUGACAACACGCAUAGAAGAAGGGCCUUUCCCACACAACUCAGUCAUCAGCAGCCUAGUUGUUGAUUGGCUGAUUGGAAGCAUUGGGAACUUGUUCAUAGACAACACACAAAAGCAAAUUGGAACCACCCAACUAUGACUGGCCCAAAGACAGUGCAGAGAACAACCUUAGGUGUCAUUGGGACCCAAGGCUGAAAUGAGACAUCAGAGUGCUUACAUCAGCGAGGUUUUUCUCUCCUGUGACUUGUGUCCCACAAGCUCCCCAGGCCCUUGUCACUCACUCAAGCUGAUGGAAGCUGGGGAGGGUGGGCAGUAACGCUCACUUUAAAGGGCCCCAAGGGAAGGAGAGAAUAGCAUAGAAAUCUAAAUGGCAAAUUUGGUAUCUGACGGCAUGAACCAGAUUAGAACUAGGUGAUGUGUAAAUGUCAGAAAAAGCUCUGUGGGCUGAGGAUACCAAAAUAACCCUGUUGACAGAUGUCACUGAGAGGGACGACAUCUCAUCACUACAGAGAUGUCCAUCCACCUGUGGAAUGGAGGGUAGAAACAAAAUGGCCUGGGUUUGAAACCGAUUAACCACUGAACAUAGAAGUUGCUCAUUGGCUCAGGGCUCUAUCUUUGAUCUAACUUGUUUAAACACUGUCUUCAAUAAUGAUUCAAAUGAAGUUUGGAGGUUUGCUAAGCAUAGUGGGGAGAUACAAGUUUGGGAAGGAUGACUGACAACAGCAUUGGAAUGAAAAGUAACUCCUUUGGGUUGGCUGGAAAGCAGCCAGAGAUGCACAGUCUUCUUACCUAGACGGUCACUGUAGGGUUUGAGAAACCCAGCCUGAGUGUGUCAGGUGAAAAUAUUCAAGUUUUAGCAGGCUUCUGCCAAACUAGUUUACACAUGCUGUAAACUCUUUACAUAAGUAUGUGUAUGUAUAUGUACAUACACAAAUACACGCGCACACAGACACACACCGUGGAGUUGCACACUGCUCUGGGUACCACGUUUUCAGAUGUUAGAAAAUGAGAAAAUGAGGACUGGGGUUCAAAGCACUGGAAUCUGAGACACAGCGUCACAGUUUAAUAUGCAAUUUCAAUGUAAGCUCAAGUAUUAAAACUUCAGUACCUAGUUGGUAGCACUGUUUCCGUAGGUUCUAGAAAUUUUAGGGAGUGGGAUCUAACUGGAAGGAGCAGGAUACUGGGAGAGCUUGUCUUUGGGUGUCCCGUCCCUGUAGGAGAGCAGGUCCUUGGCUGUCCCGUCCCUGUAGGAGAGCAGGUCCUUGGCUGUCCCGUCCCUGUAGGAGAGCAGGUCCUUGGCUGUCCCGUCCCUGUAGGAGAGCAGGUCCUUGGCUGUCCCAUCCCUGUGAGGGAACAGGUUCUUGGGUGUUUCUUCCCUGGCUCCUGCUCUCAUCCUCUGCCUCCUGGUUGCCACAUACACGACCAUAAUGUUCUGUCCAGGCACAGAGGGGCAAAGUGACUGUGGCCUAGACCUUUAGACCUCUGAGCAGCAGAACCCUGUCCUUCUACCAGGUGAUCUGGUCACAGGUACAAAGAUCAGCUACUCUAGUACUGAAAAUGGUGUCAUUGCUGUGACUAAAUCCUAAGUGUGUGCAGCUGGGUUAUGGGAAGAAUUUGAAAGUUUGGGGAAGUGGGCUGGAGGAAGCCUGAGAGAUGAGAAUGCCAGUAAGAAUACAGUAAAUGCCAGGCCAUGCAGUACUGCUGGGAAUCGGGAUAGAGGGGAUUUAUGUUACAGUUUGACAAAUAAUUUGUCUGAAUUUUUUCCCAAGUCCUAAGACUUUUAAGCUAAGUUUUAAAGUAACUAAUUAAUUUGGUGAAGGAAAUUUCAAAAUAGCAUGGUACUCUGGCUGAAACCUGGCCUUUUCUGCCCACUUUUAACCAUAUUUGCAGUGAGAAUUGCAAGCAAAAAAGCUGAGCAGAAGAAUUUGAAGACUGUGCAAUCUGGCCUAAAAAGUAGUGUAGAAAGUUGAAGACAUAAAGGAUGUGGUUGUUAAAUCAGUGGCAUUUUCAAAGAAGCCAGGCACUUUUUACUGGGAUAUAGGAAGCAUGCCUUAAGAGCAUGUAUGUUGCUAGGCGGUGGUGGUGCACACCUUUAAUCCCAACACUCGGGAGGCAGAGGCAGGUGAAUCUCUGUGAUUCAAGGACAGCCAGGGCUAUACAGAGGAAUCCUGUCUCAAAAAAUCAAGGCGGGGGGAGGGGGGGAGAAAGAAAGAAAAAAUGCUUCGUAGGUUUACCCAGUCUUUAGGAUUUUAGUUAAUUCUAGAUGUAGUCAAGUUGACAACCAAGAAUAGCCAUCACAGUGUGGUAGGAACUGACCAGACCCAACACACAGUUAUCCAGGAUGUAAAAUUGUAAACUCAUUUGAAAGACCUGGUGGUGGUCUGAAUGAAAAUGGCCCCCAUAGGCUCAUAGGAAAGGCACAGUUAAGAGGUGUGGCCUUGGAGGAGGUGUGUGCCAUUGCGGGUGGACUUGGAGAUUUCAGAUGCUCAAGCCAGGCCCAUUGUCUCUUUCUUCCUGCGACCUGCAGAAUCCUGACAUCGCUUUCCAGUGCCAUGUAGACUGAACUCUGACCUGUAAGCCAGCCCCAGUGAAAUGUUCCCUUUAUAAGCCUUGCCUUGGUCAUGGUGUCUCCUCACAGCACUGAAACCCUAAUAAGACAGACUUGCCCUUGAGAACAGAGUCUCCAGGCUCCCUGCUUACGCAGGGAUGUCCAGGGAACUACUUGCCCAGGUCCAUGGAGGUCCAUCUACUGCUCCAGCUGGCAGCAGAGGUUGGCACCAGCCCUGUGAUGUAGACAGGCAGAAUCCGGGAGUUUCAGACUCAUGGAAGCUUCUACUCAUUUCAAAGGGAGGUCUGGGAGGCCAGGCAGCAUGGCAGGGCUGAGUCCUACAUAGACGGCAGCAUGGCAGGGCUGAGUCCUACAUAGACGGCAGCACGGCAAGGCUGAGUCCUACAUAGACGGCAGCACGGCAAGGCUAAGUCCUACAUAGACGGCAGCCCCUGAGCAGCCGGCGGUGUUGGCAGUGACAGGAACAGGGAACUCAACAGUGGAUGGAGCCAGUGCUGCCCAGUAGACCUCAAGUCAUUGGAAGACCAUGUGUGCCCUGAACUCCAGGCAUGGGGAGCAGGGGUAGUGUUUGUGCUGCUGGGUGUGGCCUCUGGUCUGUUCUUUUUUGGCCUCACUACUCCUGUUUUUGCCUUUGUUUUUAUAUGCUGUGCUGUGUUGGUGUGGGUAAUCCUUUCCUGUUUAACAUGGUGUAAAGCCAGCUAAGAGUUUGCAUUAAGUCUCAAAGAGACUUUUAGACAUUGAUAGAAUUAUUAAGACCAAGAGCCUGAGAGAUGGACUAAAUGUAUUUACUGUAUGAGAUGGCAAUGAGCCUUGUGCUUUAAAUGUUUUCUUUCAUAAGAGUUGCCGUGGCCAUGAUGUCUCUUCUCAGCAAUAGAACACUGAGUAAGACGGGUGAAUUUGCUUUCUAAUGGAGUCUCAUGUAUCCCAGGCUGCCCUCAAAUUCAUUGUGUAUCACAGGGGGUUUGAAUUCCUGAUGCUCCUGCAUGUUUCCCAAGUACUAGGAUUACAGGUGUGCACCGUCGUGUCCAGUCUGUGCAAUGCUAGGGACUAAACCCAAGGACUCUGUGUGCGCUGGGCAAACACUGUACUGCCCGAGCUACAUCCCUGGCCCUGGGGAUGUUCUAGCAUGACUACAAAUGUCCAUUACAGGUUCCUGGGUUGAGGCCCAGCUAGUGACAUUGGGGUUGUUCUGUAAACCUUAGAAAGGAGACCUAGCUGAAGUAGGUCCUUGGGAUGCCCUGUCCCUGGUGCCUAACCAUCCCUUUCUCUGCUUCUUUUUCUGCCAUGAUGUUAGCUGCUCCACAGUGCUGUCUCUACCAUGAGGGAGAAAGUGAUCUUUUUAAAGUUGUUCUCAGAACACAAGUCUGUGGGCCCCAGGGUCUUCUAGUCUGGAAUCCUUCUAGCCAGAGAGACACGGAAAGGGCAGGUGCCUGAAAGUCACAUGGAGUCACAAGAGUCCUCAGGCCAGCAGCAGAGGGAAGCUGCAGAGCCAGCUGGAGCUGGAUGAGCCCAGAGCUGGGUGCCAGCGGAAGUGAGGGAGCAAGGCGAGCGGCCAUCACAGAUGACCACUUCUGCCCACAGGAGCAAGAACUCCCCGUCUGGGCCAUAGAGCAGGCCUCCUGUUCUUCUGCUCACACGAGUAAGGAGCCUGCAAGG